UACAGAGGUCUCGAGCGUUAGGCGGAAUCACUGGGCUUAAAGGGCGCGUAGGCGGCCUGGCAAGUGGAAGGUGAAAUCCCUCGGCUUAACCGAGGAACUGCCCUCCAAACUGCUUGGCUUGAGUCCGGGAGAGGUGAGUGGAAUUCCCAGUGUAGCGGUGAAAUGCGUAGAUAUUGGGAGGAACACCAGUGGCGAAGGCGGCUCACUGGACCGGAACUGACGCUGAGGCGCGAAAGCGUGGGGAGCAAACGGG
rnacentral:rRNA from 1 species